AAAAAAGGUAAGCUACUAAGAGCGAAUGGUGGAUGCCUUGACUGGUAAAGGCGAUGAAGGACGUACUAGACUGCGAUAAGCUACGGGGAGCUGUCAAGAAGCUUUGAUCCGUAGAUUUCCGAAUGGGGCAACCCAAUGUAUAGAGAUAUACAUUACCUAUAUAGGAGCGAACGAGGGGAAUUGAAACAUCUUAGUACCCUCAGGAAAAGAAAUCAAUAGAGAUUGCGUCAGUAGCGGCGAGCGAAAGCGCAAGAGGGCAAACCCAGUGCUUGCACUGGGGGUUGUAGGACUGCAAUGUGCAAGAGGUAAGUUUAGCAGAACAUUCUGGAAAGUAUAACCAUAGAGGGUGAUAGUCCCGUAUGCGAAAAACAAACCUUAGCUAGCAGUAUCCUGAGUAGGGCGGGACACGAGGAAUCCUGUCUGAAUCCGGGUCGACCACGAUCCAACCCUAAAUACUAAUACCAGAUCGAUAGUGCACAAGUACCGUGAGGGAAAGGUGAAAAGAACUGAGGUGAUCAGAGUGAAAUAGAACCUGAAACCAUUUGCUUACAAUCAUUCAGAGCCCUAUGUAGCAAUACAGGGUGAUGGACUGCCUUUUGCAUAAUGAGCCUGCGAGUUGUGGUGUCUGGCAAGGUUAAGCAAACGCGAAGCCGUAGCGAAAGCGAGUCUGAAUAGGGCGCUUAGUCAGAUGCUGCAGACCCGAAACGAAGUGAUCUAUCCAUGAGCAAGUUGAAGCUAGUGUAAGAACUAGUGGAGGACUGAACCCAUAGGCGUUGAAAAGCCCCGGGAUGACUUGUGGAUAGGGGUGAAAGGCCAAUCAAACUUCGUGAUAGCUGGUUCUCUCCGAAAUAUAUUUAGGUAUAGCGUUGUGUCGUAAUAUAAGGGGGUAGAGCACUGAAUGGGCUAGGGCAUACACCAAUGUACCAAACCCUAUCAAACUCCGAAUACCUUAUAUGUAAUCACAGCAGUCAGGCGGCGAGUGAUAAAAUCCGUCGUCAAGAGGGAAACAACCCAGACUACCAGCUAAGGUCCCUAAAUCUUACUUAAGUGGAAAACGAUGUGAAGUUACUUAAACAACCAGGAGGUUGGCUUAGAAGCAGCCAUCCUUUAAAGAAAGCGUAAUAGCUCACUGGUCUAGUGAUUUUGCGCGGAAAAUAUAACGGGGCUAAAGUAAGUACCGAAGCUGUAGACUUGCACACAACUUAGAUUAUUUAAGUUUAGAAUAUGAGAAACUAAGUUAUAUGUUUAGUUAUAUUUUUACUGAUUUUUAUAGAGUAAAGAUAGAAAUAAAACUUAGUAAAAUCAGUAAAAAUAUUCUUAGACUAAAGUUAAGUAGUUUAAGUUGUGUGCAAGUGGUAGGAGAGCGUUCUAUUUGCGUCGAAGGUAUACCGGUAAGGAGUGCUGGAGCGAAUAGAAGUGAGCAUGCAGGCAUGAGUAGCGAUAAUUAAUGUGAGAAUCAUUAACGCCGUAAACCCAAGGUUUCCUACGCGAUGCUCGUCAUCGUAGGGUUAGUCGGGUCCUAAGUCGAGUCCGAAAGGGGUAGACGAUGGCAAAUUGGUUAAUAUUCCAAUACCAACAUUAGUGUGCGAUGGAAGGACGCUUAGGGCUAAGGGGGCUAGCGGAUGGAAGUGCUAGUCUAAGGUCGUAGGAGGUUGUACAGGCAAAUCCGUAUAACAAUACUCCGAGAACUGAAAGGCUUUUUGAAGUCUUCGGAUGGAUAGAAGAACCCCUGAUGCCGUCGAGCCAAGAAAAGUUUCUAAGUUUAGCUAAUGUUGCCCGUACCGUAAACCGACACAGGUGGGUGGGAUGAGUAUUCUAAGGCGCGUGGAAGAACUCUCUUUAAGGAACUCUGCAAAAUAGCACCGUAUCUUCGGUAUAAGGUGUGGUUAGCUUUGUAUUAGGAUUUACUCCGAAAGCAAGGAAACUUACAACAAAGAGUCCCUCCCGACUGUUUACCAAAAACACAGCACUCUGCUAACUCGUAAGAGGAUGUAUAGGGUGUGACGCCUGCCCGGUGCUCGAAGGUUAAUUGAUGGGGUUAGCAUUAGCGAAGCUCUUGAUCGAAGCCCGAGUAAACGGCGGCCGUAACUAUAACGGUCCUAAGGUAGCGAAAUUCCUUGUCGGUUAAAUACCGACCUGCAUGAAUGGCGUAACGAGAUGGGAGCUGUCUCAAAGAGGGAUCCAGUGAAAUUGUAGUGGAGGUGAAAAUUCCUCCUACCCGCGGCAAGACGGAAAGACCCCGUGGACCUUUACUACAGCUUGACACUGCUACUUGGAUAAGAAUGUGCAGGAUAGGUGGGAGGCUUUGAGUAUAUGACGCCAGUUGUAUAUGAGCCAUUGUUGAGAUACCACUCUUUCUUAUUUGGGUAGCUAACCAGCUUGAGUUAUCCUCAAGUGGGACAAUGUCUGGUGGGUAGUUUGACUGGGGCGGUCGCCUCCCAAAUAAUAACGGAGGCUUACAAAGGUUGGCUCAGAACGGUUGGAAAUCGUUCGUAGAGUAUAAAGGUAUAAGCCA
rnacentral:rRNA from 1 species